rnacentral:rRNA from 1 species
CACGUAGGGCGCGAGCGUUGUCCGGAAUUAUUGGGCGUAAAGAGCUCGUAGGCGGCCUGUUGCGUCCGCUGUGAAAGCCCGGGGCUUAACCCCCGGGUCGGCAGUGGAUACGGGCAGGCUAGAGGUAGGUAGGGGAGAAUGGAAUUCCCGGUGUAGCGGUGAAAUGCGCAGAUAUCGGGAGGAACACCGGUGGCGAAGGCGGGUCUCUGGGCAGUAACUGACGCUGAGGAGCGAAAGCGUGGGGAGCGAACAGG